UACGGGGGGGCAAGCGUUGUUCGGAAUUACUGGGCGUAAAGGGCGCGUAGGCGGUCGUGACAAGUCACUUGUGAAAUCUCCGGGCUUAACUCGGAACGGUCAAGUGAUACUGUCGGACUAGAGUACAGAAGGGGCAACUGGAAUUCUCGGUGUAGCGGUGAAAUGCGUAGAUAUCGAGAGGAACACCUGCGGCGAAGGCGGGUUGCUGGGCUGAUACUGACGCUGAGGCGCGAAAGCCAGGGGAGCGAACGGG
rnacentral:rRNA from 1 species